rnacentral:lncRNA from 1 species
CAAAGUGUCCUAGGUACUCCUAGGGAGUCCUUUUUUAUGUGUGCAUGUGUUUUUGGUAUAAAGGAUGUUUGAUAAGAAUAUAAAGUGUGGGGAUGAGAAAAGAAUUCAUUGAUUAUAUUUUUGUGUUUGACAAGACCUUUGGUCUUAUGCCUACGUACGAACAUAAAAACGAGGGAUCAAAACCCCGUAGUUCGUGGUAAAAAUUGCAAAGAAGUUUAUGAAUUUAUUUUAACAAAAGUUUAAAUGAAAAGGCGUAAAAGGCCA